rnacentral:lncRNA from 1 species
GCUCUCAUUUUUUGGACCUUCCAUCUUGUAUCUUCUUCCAGAGGAUUAUCAAUAUGGACCCUGUAUCCAGAGGAAUGGAUAUAACAGAUUCAGAGCUUGCCAUCAUUCAGAAGUAAUAACUGACUAAUGCAAAUUGUUGGGGCUAUGAUUCAAGAUUAUGCAGGUACCCAACUAAGAACUUUCUCUUUGUUCUUCUCUGGAUAUGGAUAGCACUCUUUCUCAUAAGUUCCUCUGGACUGCUACUAGUAGAAAAGUCUGUUACAUUUGAUUGUGCCACAAUGGUUCAGUUAAUGAAUAAUAAUUUGAAAGCAAGCAAUAAUAUCUGUUUCUGCUCACUAAAAUAGUUACCAAGUCCACAGGAGACAGAAAUGGCAUCUACUAUCUUUGCUGAGAAAAUCCUAUGGGCAGUAUUGGUAUGCUACGGACCAAGGGGUCAUGAAGAGCUGGGUGAGGCUGAAUGACUGAACACUGAUUAUUUAUUACUCCCAUUAGAAUGUAAGCUCCUUGUGAGUAGGAAUUAUUUUAUUCUUUGUACUUGUAACCUGUGAAUAUUGGAUUUGGCUCUUCCCUGAUUGUAACAACGAAGGUACUUAGCUCUUCCUUGGUUGUGAAGAUUAAAUUAUAAUCUCCUGUCUAUUUGUUGAUUUCAUUCCCAAAUUUGUAAACACAGUAUUUAAAGUUGAUUAGGAAGAUCUGCCCAUGUUAGAUCUAAUCACCAAAGGUGUAACUAAUCCACUUAAUCAUGAAGUGAGAGGUCUGUGACCCACUUAGUGGGUAACAAAUUAGAAUCAACUAAUUGCCUUCUGGGCAGUCCUAGAGCAGAGUAUCAGCUGUGAUUAGUAGAUAUGGAAUUAGGGGAAGUGAGGCAAGAAAAAAGAUCUUUAAAAGAGACAAGGACCUGAACAAGGUUGGUCUGCUGGGAGUUAGUUGUUGGAAGUGGUUCCUCUGGGAGUUUGAAAGAGAUACAGUUGGAGUGGAGUCUUCUGUAAGAAGUAGUUCUAAUGGAGUUGAGGUUGAUAAAAGAAUCUGCUGAUUGAACUGUUAUGUGGUGAGUGUAAAGGCUGACUUCCUUUCCUUGGACUUUCUGGGGCAUCAGCCUCCAGGAAAGGGCCAUUGAGACUCCCUUCCCCUGGCUGAGUCCUUAGAUCCUUAGAGUUCCUACCUAGGUCAGAGGAAGCUCUCUCCUCUCUGUCUCUGUCUCUGUCUCUGUCUCUGUCUCUGUCUCUGUCUCUGUCUCUGUCUCUGUCUCUGUCUCUGUCUCUGUCUCUGUCUCUGUCUCUCCUUUUCUUCCCUUUGUCUUUUCCUUAAUAUUUUCCCUCUGUUGUAAAAUAAACUACCAUAAAUUCCUUUCUAAUUUUAGUAA